rnacentral:tRNA from 1 species
GGCCUGAUGGUCUAGGAGUAUGAUUCGUUGUUAGGGAAAUGUUAAUUAGCUUUCGACGAGGUCCCGGGUUCAAUUCCCGGUCAGGCCC